AUUGAACGCUGGCGGCAUGCCUUACACAUGCCAGUCGAACGGCAGCACGGGGGCAACCCUGGUGGCGAGUGGCGAACGGGUGAGUAAUACAUCGGAACGUGUCCUGUAGUGGGGGAUAGCCCGGCGAAAGCCGGAUUAAUACCGCAUACGCUCUACGGAGGAAAGGGGGGGAUCUUAGGACCUCCCGCUACAGGGGCGGCCGAUGGCAGAUUAGCUAGUUGGUGGGGUAAAGGCCUACCAAGGCGACGAUCUGUAGCUGGUCUGAGAGGACGACCAGCCACACUGGGACUGAGACACGGCCCAGACUCCUACGGGAGGCAGCAGUGGGGAAUUUUGGACAAUGGGGGCAACCCUGAUCCAGCAAUGCCGCGUGUGUGAAGAAGGCCUUCGGGUUGUAAAGCACUUUUGUCCGGAAAGAAAACGCCGUGGUUAAUACCCGUGGCGGAUGACGGUACCGGAAGAAUAAGCACCGGCUAACUACGUG
rnacentral:rRNA from 1 species